rnacentral:rRNA from 1 species
AUACGUAUGGGGCAAGCGUUAUCCGGAUUCAUUGGGCGUAAAGCGCGUGUAGGCGGCUUGUUAAGUCAGAUGUGAAAACCGGGGGCUUAACCCGCGGCGUGCAUCUGAAACUGGCAGGCUUGAGUCUGGUAGAGGAAAGUGGAAUACCUAGUGUAGCGGUGAAAUGCGCAGAUAUUAGGAGGAACACCAGUGGCGAAGGCGGCUUUCUGGGCCACGACUGACGCUGAGACGCGAAAGCUAGGGGAGCAAACAGGAUUAGAAACCCUAGUAGUCC